CAGCCGCCGCGGGAAUACGUAGGGUGCGAGCGUUAAUCGGAAUUACUGGGCGUAAAGCGUGCGCAGGCGGUUGUGUAAGACAGGUGUGAAAUCCCCGGGCUUAACCUGGGAACUGCGCUUGUGACUGCACAGCUAGAGUAUGGCAGAGGGGGGUGGAAUUCCACGUGUAGCAGUGAAAUGCGUAGAGAUGUGGAGGAACACCGAUGGCGAAGGCGGCUCACUGGCCCGAUACUGACGCUGAGGCACGAAAGCGUGGGGAGCAAACAGGAUUAGAGACCCGCGUAGUCCCUGUCUCUUAUAC
rnacentral:rRNA from 1 species